rnacentral:rRNA from 1 species
AAAUAUGAAGGCGGGCUGGAACCUCUCGGGGUUACAGCCUUGCUGAAUUAUUCACCCUUGUCUUUUGCGUACUUCUUGUUUCCUUGGUGGGUUCGCCCACCACUAGGACAAACAUAAACCUUUUGUAAUUGCAAUCAGCGUCAGUAACAAAUUAAUAAUUACAACUUUCAACAACGGAUCUCUUGGUUCUGGCAUCGAUGAAGAACGCAGCGAAAUGCGAUAAGUAGUGUGAAUUGCAGAAUUCAGUGAAUCAUCGAAUCUUUGAACGCACAUUGCGCCCUUUGGUAUUCCAAAGGGCAUGCCUGUUCGAGCGUCAUUUGUACCCUCAAGCUUUGCUUGGUGUUGGGCGUCUUGUCUCUAGCUUUGCUGGAGACUCGCCUUAAAGUAAUUGGCAGCCGGCCUACUGGUUUCGGAGCGCAGCACAAGUCGCACUCUCUAUCAGCAAAGGUCUAGCAUCCAUUAAGCCUUUUUUUCAACUUUUGACCUCGGAUCAGGUAGGGAUACCCGCUGAACUUAAGCAUUC